CCUACGGGCGGCAGCAGUAGGGAAUAUUGCUCAAUGGGGGAAACCCUGAAGCAGCAACGCCGCGUGGAGGAUGAAGGUUUUCGGAUUGUAAACCUCUUUUGUCAGGGAGCAAAGGGCGCCACGUGUGGCGUUUUGCGAGUACCUGAAGAAAAAGCAUCGGCUAACUCGGUGCCAGCAGCCGCGGUAAUACGGAGGAUGCGAGCGUUAGCCGAAUUUAUUGGUUUUAAAGGUUGCGCAGGCGGAAUGUCAAGUCAGCGGUAAAAUUUCGGGGCUCAACCCCGUCGUGCCGUUGAAACUGGCGUUCUUGAGUGAGCGAGAGGUAUGCGGAAUGCGAGGUGUAGCGGUGAAAUGCAUAGAUAUCACGCAGAACUCCGAUUGCGAAGGCAGCAUACCGGCGCUCAACUGACGCUCAUGCACGAAAGCGUGGGUAUCGAACAGGAUUAGAUACCCUUGUAGUC
rnacentral:rRNA from 1 species